UCAACAAUAGCAAUUCAUCAACCAAUAUCGUAUAUCCACAAUUUGAGUUUGAAUAAAUCACGAACCUUAGGUUCAUUUCUCAAUCUCAUUUCACAUUUCAAUUCACAAUUCAACUUUUUCAUAUCAUUUCAAUAGCUCGUUUGACCAACUCGUUCGGUUUAUCAUUUCAUCAUUUACCCUAUUAACAAAACUCGGACUUUUGUGGAUACACGGAUCUAACCAAACACACCAGAAUGGCACCCAGUGCCUCAUCGGAUAGUUCGAAGCAAUAGUUGACACCCAGUGUCUCAUCGGCAAAGCCGAAGAAAGUUGGUACCCAGUACCUCAUCGAAUCUAUCCGAAGAAAUAUAGUGACACCCAGUGUCUCAUCGACUCAAGGUCGAAGUAUCCCUGAACUCUUCCAAUCCUAUGGCAUGCCAACUAUAUCCGACUCAGCCCGACUAGUUAAUAGGGUAUUUAAAUCACAUAUAUUCUCAAUUCAAUCACAAUUUCUCACACUUUCAAUUCAAUCAUUUUUCCACCUUCAAUCAAUAAUUAUUUCACAAAUUCACACAUUUUCACAACUCAAUACAUUUCCAUACAAUUUAAUACCAUUCACAAUUCGAUUCAAAUUCAUUUCCCGCUUUCAAUCAACAAACAAUUCAAAUAUUAAUUCAUAUAAACUAUUUAAUUUAAUUCCCACUCAUAAUAAUAAUAAUAAUAAUAAUAAUAAAUUAAUACUAAUAUUAUACUUACCUCACAUUUCAUUUACUAGACACAUAAAUUAAAAUUUAGCAUUUAAUAAUAAAUAACUUGAAUUAUAGUAAUACAAACCGUUAUUCUCCCGUUUUAGUCCUCGAUAACUUUCUCCUUUCCUUUUGACGCCGAUGCCUCGGGUUCUUUGUUAGCUACGAAAAUAAUAAUUUGUAAUAUUAAUUACAACACUAAUUAUAAUAAAUAAUUUAAUUUCUAUUCAAUUUCUUCCUAAUUCUCAAUUUAAUCCUAACUAAAUUUACUUACUUUCCUAAUUCAAUUCACACUCUAUUUCUAUUCAAAUUUCAUCCAAACUAAAAUUUAACUAUCAAAAUUUCAGCAUAUUUUGCUAAUUUCGAAUUUCCCUCAAUUUAGUCCCUAAAACAUAAAACUCAUAGUUUCUUUUACAAUUUAAUCCCUUUUUCAAUUCUAACUUAAAAUUCCUUCAAGUUAAUCCCUAAUUCAUCUCUUUUGUUCAACAUAAACUAUACUUGAAAACCUAUGAACUUACAAAAUAUCAACUUAAUUCCAUCAAAACUUUGUUUUAAAGCUUUUAAAACAUUAGAAUUAAGAGAAAAGGGCUAAUUUGACUUACCAAUCAAAGCUUUAAACCUUAAACCUUCAAUUUUUCCUUUUUCUUUCUUUUUUUUUCUUUCUCCCCUGUUUCUUCUCUGUUUCGUCUUUGGCUAUUCUGUUUCUUUCUUCUUUUGUUUCUUUUAUUCUUUUAUUUUAACUUACUUUACUUUAUUUCCUUUAUUUUAUUUCUUUUGUUUUCUUUUAUUUAAUUACUUUAAUAUAAUAAUUAAAACAAAUAUCUAUUUAGUAAUUAAAUAUAAGUAUUACAAAUGUAUGUAUUUUAUUAAUACACUUGUAUUAAAUAUCACCAUACAUUUGUCUUUAUUUAAUUUAUUUCUUAAUAUAAUAUUUAUAAUAUAAUUAAUUUAAUAAUAUCCUUUAUAAUUAAUUUAUAUAUUUAUAUAAAUAAAUAAUAUAAAAAUCUAAGAUUUUUACAAUGUUAUGCCGCCUCAACUUCCAAAUGUGGCUUAAUUGCCCAUUUGGUCCCUCUUAUUUUCUUUUGAUCUAUAAUUAAACAUUUACCCUUUAUUCAAUUUAAUCCUUUUUCCUAAUUAUUCUUAAUUAGAUUAAAUUCAUCUAUCUAAAACUUAAUUAAACACACAACUAGUCUCGUAAAUAUUUCUAAUAAUUAUUUUCGGACUCAAUUUACUAAGACGGAGGCCCGAUAUUAUACUUUUUCGAUGCCCGUGAAUUUUGGGUCAUUACAUUUUUCCCCCCUUAAUAAAUUUCGUCCUCGAAAUUUACCUAAGAAGAGAUGAGGAUAUUGUGCUCUCAUCGUCUCUUCCGGUUCCCAAGUUGCUUCUUCCACACUAUGGCUUCUCCAUAAAACUUUUACUAAAGGAACCCGUUUAUUUCUUAAUUCUUUCACAUCUCGUGCUAAUAUUUGAACUGGUUCUUCUUCAUAAGUUAAAUCAGAUCGAAGUUCAAUGUCUUCAGUGGGAAUAACAUGAGAAGGAUCCGAUCUAUAUCUCCGAAGCAUCGAAACAUGAAAAACAUCAUGAAUUUUCUGUAACUCUGGAGGUAAGGCUAAUUGAUAAGCAACAGGCCCAAUUCUUUCCACUAUCUCAUACGGCUCAAUAAAGCGUGGACUUAAUUUUCCCUUCCGACCAAAUCUCAAAAUUUUCUUUCACGGCGAUACUUUGAGGAAUACCUUAUCACCAACGGAAUAUUCAAUGUCUCGUCGUUUCAAGUCUGCGUAAGAUUUCUGUCUGUCGAAAGCGGCUUUCAGUCUAUCUUUAAUCUUUUUAACUGUUUCUUCUGUCUCUUGAAUCAAUUCCGGCCCAAUCACUUUUCUUUCUCUUAAUUCUGUCCAACAUAUUGGUGAUCGACACCUUCGACCAUAAAGUGCUUCAUACGGAGCCAUUUGAAUACUAGAUUGGAAACUAUUAUUAUAAACAAACUCGGCCAAUGGUAAAUAACGUUCCCAACCUGAUUCAAAAUCAAUGACACAAGCUCGAAGCAUAUCUUCUAAUAUCUGAAUUACUCGUUCAGAUUGUCCAUCAGUUUGAGGAUGAAAAGCUGUACUUAAACUAAGUCGAGUACCCAAUGAUUCAUGCAGCUGCUUCCAAAAUCUCGAAGUGAAUCGAGGAUCUCUGUCUGAAAUUAUUGAUACCGGAAUACCAUGUAAUCUAACAAUUUCUCGAAUAUAAACCUCGGCAAGCUUCUGUAAUGACCAGUCGGUUCUAACUGCUAUAAAAUGAACUGAUUUUGUGAGUCGAUCAACAAUCACCCAAAUAACAUUCUUUUUACUCACUGACAAUGGCAACCCCGUAACAAAAUCCAUGGUAAUGCGAUCCCAUUUCCACUCGGGAAUAGUAAUAGGCUGUAACAGACCUGUUGGUACCUGAUGUUCUGCUUUUACCCGCUGACAAGUCAAGCAUUUACUGACAUAUUCAACUAUAUCUUUCUUCAUUCCUGGCCACCAAUACAGUUCUCGUAGAUCACGAUACAUCUUCGUUCCUCCUGGGUGCAAAGUAAAAAUACUAUCAUGUGCUUCUCGGAGAAUCAAUUCUUUAAUCUCAGAAGUAGAUGGAACACAAAUUCGAUUUCGAAAUCUCAAACAAUCAUGCUCGUCAAUACUAAAAUUUUCUAUCGCACCAUACUGUACCAUUUCUCUUUUCCUCAUCAACUUUUCAUUUUUUAACUGUGCUGCUCUGAUUUGAUCAAACAUCACCGGCUUGACUCUUAACUCAGCUAACAAACUUCCAUCAUCCUUAAUACUAAGUCGAGCGAACAUUGCCCGUAAUUCAACCGCUGCUUUUCUACUCAAUGCAUCUGCUACCACAUUUGCCUUCCCUGGAUGAUAAUCUAUAACACAAUCAUAAUCUUUCAGAAGUUCAAUCCACCGUCUCUGUCUCAGAUUCAACUCCUUUUGUGACAGAAGAUAUUUAAGACUUUUAUGAUCAGUGUAAAUAUAACAUUUCUCACCAUACAAGUAAUGUCUCCAAAUCUUCAAUGCAAAGAUUACAGCAGCUAACUCUAAAUCGUGUGUCGGGUAGUUGCGUUCAUGUGACUUCAACUGUCGAGAUGCAUAAGCUAUUACUUUUCCUUCUUGCAUCAAUACACAACCCAAACCAUUCAAAGAAGCAUCACUGUACACUAUGAAAUCUUUCCCCGAUUCUGGUAAAGUUAAAACUGGUGCCUCUGUCAACAUUUGUUUCAAUGUUUCAAAGCUCCUCUGACACUGAUCAUCCCAGAUAAAUGGAAUAUUCUUCUGUAGUAAUUUGGUCAUCGGAAAAGCUAUCUUCGAAAACCCAUUUACAAAUCUUCUGUAAUACCCAGCCAAACCAAGAAAACUGCGUACCUCUGAUACAUUCUUUGGUGCCUUCCAUUGAACAAUUGCCUCGAUCUUCUUCGGAUCAACUCUAAUCCCAUCCGCAGAUACAACAUGUCCCAAGAAUACUACCUCUGAUAACCAGAAUUCACAUUUACUUAGUUUCCCGUACAACUGUUUUUCUCGCAGAAUUUGUAGCACGGUUCUGAGAUGCUGAUCAUGCUCUGACUUUGACUUCGAAUAAACCAAGAUGUGAUCAAUAAAAACCACCACAAACUGAUCUAAAUACGGCUGAAAAAUACGAUUCAUCAGAUCCAUAAAAGCAGCUGGAGCAUUAGUCAACCCGAACGGCAUCACCAAAAAUUCAUAAUGACCAUAUCGAGUACGAAAUGCAGUCUUCGGAACAUCACUUUCUUUUACUUUCAGCUGAUAAUACCCAGAUCUUAAGUCAAUUUUUGAAAAUACUGAAGCUCCUUUUAGCUGAUCAAAUAAAUUAUCUAUACAGGGUAACGGAUACCGGUUCUUGAUCGUCACUUUGUUUAACUGCCGGUAAUCAAUACAAAGCCGCAUCGAUCCAUCUUUCUUUUUAACAAACAAUACUGGAGCUCCCCAAGGUGAAAUGCUCGGUCUAAUAAAUUCACGAUCUAACAAGUCCUGUAACUGCACUUUCAACUCUUUUAACUCAGUGGGCGACAUUCGAUACGGUGGUAUAGAGAUUGGUGCUGUACCCAGAUACACUUCUAUAGCAAAUUCAACCUCUCUGUCAGGUGGUAAACCCGGUAGCUCUUCAGGAAAUACAUCUGGAAACUCACAUACGGUUCUGAUCUUACUGCACUGACUACCAACCAAAUCAGAAUUAAUAACAUAGGCUAAAUACGCUGUACAACCCUGCUGAAGCAAUUUAUUAGCCUUUAUUGCCGAAAUAAUACGUGCCGGCCCAUUAGUACGGAUACCAUUUACCUCAAUUCUGUCCCCGUCUUCUGUCUGAAUACUAAACUUCUUUUUAUAACAAUCCAAUACCACUCCGUGCUCAGCCAACCAAUCCAUCCUCAGUAUUAUAUCAAAAUCUCCAAAUGGCAUAAUCAACAGGUCAAUAGGAAAAGUUUUAUUUUGUAUAAUUAACGGGCAUCUCGGACAGACAUGAUUCACUAAUACUGUUUGCCCCAACGGACUCGACACUUCUACAGUCACUCUAGAUAUUUCAGAAUUAAAUUUUCCCAAUUCAACUAAUUUUGAAUUUAUAUAAGAAUGUGAAGAUCCGAGAUCAAUUAAAGCAUAAACAGGCUCAGAAUAUAGUAAGAAUAUACCUGUUACUACAUCGUGGGCGUCACAUUCUUCCCGUGUUCUGACCACAUAAGCUCUGGCAGGUACUUUAGCCUCAGACUGCUGAGUAGCAAUAUCACUGCUUCUCCUAAUACUUCCACCCCUUGAAACCGAACCACCUCUUCCUAACCCUCUGCCUCUAGCUGUAGAUACCGAUCUCUGUGAUGUCACGGGUACAGUACUAUCAACUUUCGGACAGUCUCUGAUGAAAUGGUCUGUAGAACCACAUCGAAAACAGCCUCUAGUUAAUUUCCAACAUUCCCCUCUGUGUUUCUUUCCGUAGUGUUGGCAGUCUGGAAUAUCUAUUUCUCGGGAAGGACCUCUCACACUGCCAGUAGAUAUCAUCGUCUGUUUUCCCCUACUUCUACCACCUCUGUCUGACCUGAAACUGGAUCUCCAACCACUUUGGAAUUCCUUUGGUCUUUUCGGCUGAGGAUUCGAACUGGUAGUUCCUGUACGCUUCUCGGUUGGUCUAACAACUUCAGUCUUUUUGUCGAGGCCCAGAAUUUGUUCCACCAUUUUAGCUCGUUCAAUCAAAUCUACUAACUCAGUGAUCCGAUGAGAUACUAGCUGCACUUUGAUCUCGUCUCGUAAACCCCGUAAAAAUCUUUUACAACUAUCGGCUUCUGUCGGAAUAAACUCGGAGGCAUAUCUGCUGAGUCUCGAGAAUUCCCUCUCAUAAUCUAUUACUGACAUAUCACCCUGUUGUAGCAACAAAAACUCUUGUUUCUUGUCUUCAAUAUACAUCUCUCCGAUAUAUUUCUUUUGAAAUUCCUUCUGAAAUAGAUCCCACGUUAUCUGACUCUCUGGUAAAUGUCGAACCACUGAUUCCCACCAUAGAUAAGCCUCCCCUUGUAACAACGAUACGGCACAGAUUAAACACUCUCGGGGGGUACAAUCCAAUUGCUGCAAAAUUCUUUUAGUCGACUCCAUCCAAUUUUCAUCUGUGGAUGGAUCAACUCCUUUUAGACCCAUAAAUUCAGUGGCACCAUAUUUCCUCAGUUCCUUUAUCGGAGCCCGUCUAACAGUAGGUACUGAAGUCGUAACAGGAGUAGUUCCUGCUACUCUUUGUAAUGCAUCUGCUAUAAUUUUCAGUAAUUGGGAUUCAUCUCUAUCUCUGACAUUUUCUCGUUCUACAUUAGAAGGUUGGUUGCCUAACGGAUUCACACUCGGUGCAACAGAUUCUGUUUCAUCUAAUUCUCUAUCUUUAGUAUACAUUCUUUCAUCAGUAUCAUUUAUUCUUUCUUCAGACAUCUUUAAUCUAUAAAACAAAACAAACAAAUAGGUCAGCAUCCAAAAAUCCCGACUCAGUUUAACUCGACAGUGGCAUGUACAUCUAGACUCAAUUUCGAGCUCGAUUUAGGCCGAGAAUCGGCUAAACCUGAUAGCUCUGAUACCACAAAAUGUAACACCCCUUAACCCCGAACCGUCGCCGGAACAGAAUUACGAGGCAUUACUGGAUGUAUCGAACGAUUUACAACAAUUCUUAAAUAAAUAACCAAUAUAUUAAAAUAAUUCAUAAAAUUUAUUAGUUUGUUUACCAAAUGACUUCAUUUUUUUUAAUAAAAAUUUCAGCAGCAUUUCUGCUUAUUUUUACAUAAAACCCACUGCAAAUUAAAACCAUAUAGUUCCCAAAUAUCACCAAUUCAACCAAUUCAUUUCACAUUCACAUUUUCUAUUCUAAAUACUUCUAAUCAAACUCAAUCUACACAAUAUCAAUUUAAAAUUUAACAAUGUACUAAUUAGAUAAAAUAGAUAGACUUCUUUCAUUAAAAUCCAUAAACUUUUAAUACUAACAUUUUUAACCAUUAUAUAUUAAAACAUAAUAACCUUUAUACACAAUCUAUGUACAUGCCACCUUUACCAAAGGAAAAAUACAUCACCAAGUUUUGCCGAAGCCGGGAUUAAUCUGGAUGCUGAACCGGGACCUUUGACUUCUAUCGACCUGCGCACGGAAACAACCGUACGCUGAGUAAUUCAUACUCAGUGGUAUUACCAUAAUUCAAAUUAUAACAAUAAUGUACAUGUAAUGCAUAAAUCGUAUAUACAAUUUAAAUUCAAUAUUUCAACAAUAGCAAUUCAUCAACCAAUAUCGUAUAUCCACAAUUUGAGUUUGAAUAAAUCACGAACCUUAGGUUCAUUUCUCAAUCUCAUUUCACAUUUCAAUUCACAAUUCAACUUUUUCAUAUCAUUUCAAUAGCUCGUUUGACCAACUCGUUCGGUUUAUCAUUUCAUCAUUUACCCUAUUAACAAAACUCGGACUUUUGCGGAUACACGGAUCUAACCAAACACACCAGAAUGGCACCCAGUGUCUCAUCGGAUAGUUCGAAGCAAUAGUUGACACCCAGUGUCUCAUCGGCAAAGCCGAAGAAAGUUGGUACCCAGUACCUCAUUGAAUCUAUCCGAAGAAAUAUAGUGACACCCAGUGUCUCAUCGACUCGAGGUCGAAGUAUCCCUGAACUCUUCCAAUCCUAUGGCAUGCCAACUAUAUCCGACUCAGCCCGACUAGUUAAUAGGGUAUUUAAAUCACAUAUAUUCUCAAUUCAAUCACAAUUUCUCACACUUUCAAUUCAAUCAUUUUUCCACCUUCAAUCAAUAAUUAUUUCAC
rnacentral:lncRNA from 1 species